GACGAACGCUGGCGGCGUGCCUAAUACAUGCAAGUCGAACGCAUUUUCUUUCACCGUAGCUUGCUACACCGAAAGAAAAUGAGUGGCGAACGGGUGAGUAACACGUGGGUAACCUGCCCAUCAGCGGGGGAUAACACUUGGAAACAGGUGCUAAUACCGCAUAAUUCCAUUUACCGCAUGGUAGAUGGGUGAAAGGCGCUUUUGCGUCACUGAUGGAUGGACCCGCGGUGCAUUAGCUAGUUGGUGGGGUCACGGGCUACCAAGGCUGCGAUGCAUAGCCGACCUGGGAGGGGGAACGGCCAAACUGGGACUGGGACACGGCCCAGAAUCCUACGGGGGGCAGCAGGAAGGAAUCUUCGGCAAUGGAGGCAAGGCUGACCGAGCAACGCCGCGGGAGUGAAGAAGGUUUUCGGAUCGUAAAACUCUGUUUUUAGAGAAGAACAAGGAUGGGAGUGGAAAGUUCAUCCCUUGACGGUAUCUAACCAGAAAGCCACGGCUAACUACGUG
rnacentral:rRNA from 1 species